UGCCGUAGCUUCAGUCCUGUGGCCUGCAGUCCUUAGGAGGUCGGCAGGGAGGACACCGGCACACCCGGAAGCUGGGAGGUGGAUAGACAAGGAUUUGUACAUCAGCACUACCUGCCUCUUAAGCGUCUUCCAGGCCAUCACGACCACCCCCAUGAACUCCAGGUGGCAGAGCUGACACUACAAGCUCCCAGAAACACUGGGCCCUGCAGCAUCCUGUGCUGGAUUGUGAACAGGCUGUCAGACUCCUUGCCUUCUUGAGUCAUGUCCCCAGGACGUCCAGGCUCAGCUCCGUCUGCUGUGGAAGGAAUACACCAUCCCCUAAGCUGAUUGUAGGUAAAUAAUGAUGACCGUCGCUGGGCGCAGUGGCUCAAGCCUGUCAUCCCAGCACUUUGGGAGGCCGAGGGGAGAGGAUUGCCUGAGUCCA